ensembl:lncRNA
UGAAAUAGUCCCAUGUUCCCACUGCUUCCUGUUUUGUUUCCCGACUGCUAUAACUCCACCUGGACUCUCUUCACCCCACUGGAUUCCUGCCGGUCCCAUCUCUGUGAACCUGCCUCGUCUCCCACCAGCUCCCGGAUUUGCUGAGCCUUUCUGCCACGUAGCUUCAACUUGUCUUGUAUUAUAUCUUGCCACUGGGGACUCUUUCAGAAUGAUAGCCUUCAGUUAUCGUGUGGUGUUCUGCGCAGUGGGUCGGAUCGUGAAGGAUGUGGCAGCGGCUAUCUGGGACACAAUGGUCAAUGAGGGUCAGAUUGUAGUGGCAGAAUCCAAGGAGAUUCCAGUUCAGAUGAGAUGUAAUCCCUCCAGUGAG